ensembl:lincRNA
GGCGGACGCGCAGGCGCUGCCCUGACCCGGCGGCCGCGCUGGUCUCGAGCCGGCUCCAAGGUCGGGGGUGCCCAGAGCCCCUUGGCCUUUUCCCCCGGGGCGACUCCGGGGGCCGGUUACCAGCAGUCGCUACCCUGCCUUGGCUGCCUCCGUGAAUCAGCACUGUCCAGACAGAGGUGGCCCAGUUGAAUACCUGAGUUCUCAGGGCCAUGCAGAGCAGCCUGACCAUGAGGAUGGGCCCCUGUGGUGUACGACCACAGCUCUUCAAAGGUCACAAUUUCCAGUCUUCCAAGCAGUCUUCUGAUUACGAACAUGGUUUUCUCCUUUCACUUAAGAGAUUUGGGGGGCUCAGAUCUCAGCACAGAUAUCUGGAGAGUGUGGGGUCAGGGAAGAGCAGCAAAAGGAAUGGAUGUCCAGACAUAGGGCACACUCAACAGAGAGAGAGAGAGAAGAGAAGAGAAAAGAGAGGAGAGAGAAGAUGAGACGAGAGAGAGAAGAGAGAGAGAGAGAAGAUGAGAAGGGAAGAGAGAGGAGAGAGAAGAUGAGAAGGGAAGAGAGAGGAGGGAGCCCUCGCACACAAUGCUUCCACGUAUUGCUGUACUCCACCCCUUGGUCUGCAGCCACAGCCGUACUUGGCAGAGCACAAUACUCUCUGUGGUUCUGCCUCUUGGCAUAUGUUGUUCUUUGAUCUUUGGUUAAGAAACCAUGCCUGACUUACGCAUGGCCAUGAUGGAAGUUGCUUACAUUGAUUUUCCAUGUGUGGAAUGGUCUGACUUGGCCCAUGUACUUCUCUGUCUCUACAAAGGAAGCUCUACCUGGGACAACAAACUAGGCCCUUAAAACUUUCCAUGGUUUAAAAACGAAACAAAACAAAAACAACAUUUUAUGGUUAAUGACUCCAGUCCAAAACAAUUAACAAAAGCUGAACCACGAAUGCGUUUUUAAUCUCAGGAGAAUAAUCAUCAUUUUCAUCAGUGUCUGGCAGGACUCCUGUGAGGCAGAGCUCGGGCUUUCUCAGCCUAACUCACCUGGGCAAAAGGAGACAUGGCCGGAAGGUCUUACCAUUUGCCUUGGAUGUGGUACUCUUUCUGAGGUCUCCAACUCUCUUAAAAUCCUGUUCAAAAUGAUCAUGUGGACUGCAGUCUCGUGGACAGCAGGAAAGGGACCAGAGGUGUCUGCACAGAGAGUCCUAACCAUCUGCGCCUGCUGCACCUGCACCGCCAGCCACCCUCUCUGAGGCACACUUCUGCUUCUUCAAACUCCUGCAGGGACCAGGGGGCAGUCCAGAAGUGAAGACAGAAGGGAGGACAGCAAGGGAAGCCCCAGCUCAAAGAAGCGACUGGGCUAGGGUGGCCCUCUGCAGAGAUGCUUCUGCCUGCCUGCCGUGUGUCACUGUUGAGCUCUUCCCCAGUGCAGAGCUUUGCCCUGCUUUUGUUUGUGUUCGUUAUUCACUCUUUCAUGCAAAACUGAAAUUGAAGUGGGUCUGAAGACACUAAAAAAUGUCUGGGUAGGGGGCUACAGGGAGCAGGGGUUUUCCUGAGAGAAUGGAAUGUCCCAUGAGAAAUUUCACUUACCAUGAGAGGGGAAGUCCGUUUCGUAUGACAUGAUAUAACACUGUCAUUAUAAACUCUCCGUUGGGUUUCAUGUGUUAAUAUUUAUCAUUCUUUUGAUUAGUUAUUCAUCAAGAAAACCCUGUGAAUUCUGAGAAAAUCAUCACAUAUCGAGGGCUCCUCAGGCUAGAUGAUGGACCCAGAAUCAUUUUCUCUAUUCUUUACAACAGAGAACUUGCUGGGUUUUUUUGUUUUGUUUUGUUUUGACCAAACACCACUUGGCCUGCAGGCGAGGAGCUGUCCUUGCCCAGAUGAGACAAUCUCAUCUGAAGCAACAACCUGGUACCAGGAUAUCAUGUUUACUCAUGAGAAUACCAUUGACCAUUGGCCUUCAAGUGAAGGUUGACCUGUGCAUUUUUUUUUUAAGACAGAGUCUCACUCUGUCCCCCAGGCUGGAGUGAAGUGGUACGGUCUUGGUUCACUGCAACCUCUGCCUCCUGGGUUCAAGUGAUUCUCGUGCCUCAGUCUCCCCAGUAGCUGGGAUUACAGGAGCAUGCCAACACUCCCUGCUAAUUUUUUAUAUUUUUAGUAGAGACAGGGUUUCACUAUGUUGCCCAGGCUGCUCUCAAACUCCUGAGCUCAGGCAAUCCACCCCCCUUGGCCUCCCAAAGUGCUGGGAUUACAGAUGUGAGCACUGCGCCCAGUCUGACCUGUGCUUUUCACCUUCUCUGCAUACCUGUGUGCCCUUUCUGCAUGGGGCCUCAACUCCAGACCCCGGAAACAACAACUAACAUGGACAACUGCUGGGAAGAGGCUCAAGCCAUUGCAGCAUGAUCACACAAGGCUGGGAUAGAUUUCUUUCUCAUCUCUCAUAUGCCCCUUGCAAAAAAUAGGGGGGCAGAAAAGUCUGGGGCUAAGCUUGCCCUGUUUCAUCCAUGCACAGUUUGCAUUACUGAACAGACUAGAAAAAUGUGUCAAUCUAAAAUCAUUUAUAUUUGGCUUAAAUGACAACAGUUUAUCUGCCCUCCUUCCCCAAAAUACAAAGCAGUACCUAUCUUACCUCUGAUGUGAUUAAAGUGUCCACGAUGGUAAUUUUUCCCAAGCAAAGCCACAGUCUGUCUUAAAGGUGAGAUGAGAUCUUUAUCUCUACAGACAGAAAACGUAACUUUUAAAUGGCAGUUCCCCUCCUGCUUGUUGAGGUUUACAGGGCAGCUUAACAGGUGGGCAGGUGCAGUGAUGGGCAGAGAGAUAACUGAUAUAUAAGACAGAUAUGUGGACAUCUUACUGUAGUGCUUUUAAAAAUAUGUACAAUUUAAAAUAAACUUUUGCUUUCAAAAUGUC